CCGCGGAUGAUUGGGCCGGUCACGGUUUGAUUUUUCAAAUCCGCAGCUGUGACGGUUUGGUUGCGGGUGACCCCUAAUCCGCAACCGUACCGGUGAGAAUUAGAGGCAGACGAAACCGAGGAAAUCCAUCUCUUCUCUAUGCUACACAUGUGAAACUUAAGUUAUCAAAAUAGGAAUCAUCUAUUUUGAGGCCUUUAAAGAGUGAUGUUUGGAGACGGAUACAUGUCAAAGAACUUGUGGUGUUUGUAAAAAUGACUAAAUGAAGAAAUACAAGCGCACUUUGUUGAAUAGGAAAGUUCAUAUAGCUGGAAAUAAUUAAGCAUUUAUUUCCCAACUGCCACAGAUUGGUGGUACCGCUAGUAAUGGAGCUCGGCAAGAGGAACUAGUGAGUUUCUCAGCACCUUGGGGUUAAAGCAUGGGAGUGAAGAAAGAACCUUUGUCAGAGGCAUUUGUAGCUCGCAUGCUAGCAAAGCUAUGAACGUGCAAGCACGUUUAAGCUUCUUCGAAGAUGGAGAAUUAGAGGCAGAAGAAGUGGAGAAGAUCUGCUGAGGUGAUUCUGAAAGAAUCACAGACAUGGCUACACAUGUGAGACUCCUGUAUCAAAUAGGCAGAUAUUUCGACUCAGGAAUGUAGCCGGUGCUGCUAAUGGUGGAUUAUAGUAGAAAAGUUGCCAGAACUACAAGAAUGUUUUUCUUCCGUCUUUCAAUCCAGUCAAAAGGAAUUAUCUGUUUUGAGGCCUUUAAAGAGUGAUGUUUGUUGAUGAUGAUAUAGUUGAUACAUGGCAAAGAACUUGUCGACUAUGUAAAAUUAAGCCUUAAUUCAGAAAUGCAAGCGCACUUUGUUUACCACAGGAAAGAUGGAUCCGUAGUUAUCCGGCAUUGUACUUGUUUGGCAAGGAGCAUGUAUCUGAUUUGGUUCCUAAACAGUUCAUAAGGCUGGAACUAAGUAAGCAUUAGAUUCCCAACUGCAACAGAAUUGGCCGUACUACUAGUGGUGGAGCUCGACAAGAGGAACUAAUGAGAAUUAGAGGCAGAAGAAAUGGAGAAGACCUGCUGAGGUGAUUCUGAGGGAUUUGCAGACAUGGCUACCCAUGUGAGACUCUGUACCAGAUAGGCAGAUAUCUUGGCUCAGGAAUGUUGCAGGUGCUUCUAAUGGUGGAUUAUAGUGGUAAAAGUGCCAGAACUACAGAAAUGUUUUUCUUCUGUCUUAGAAUUCAGUCAAAAGGUGCAAUUUUUGGAAUGGAAUCGUCUGUUUUUAGGCCUUUAAAGAGUGAUGUAUGUUGACGAUGAUUUAUUUGAUACAUGUCAAAGAACUUGUCAACUAUGUAAAAAUUAAGCCAAAUUCAAGCGCACUUUGCUGAACAGGAAAGAUGAUAUCUCAAUGUGAAACAAAAAAAAUUGAAUCCUAAAAGAACUUUUAUUAAAUUAAAGAUUAUUUUUGCCGGUAUUUUCUGCUGAUGGAAUGGACCAAGGGCUCUUCCUCUGUCCUAGGAUGAUGUGGCUAGCAAUAAAAUGUUGGUUGUAACAAAACGCAUAAUCACAAUCCACAAACUUGAAUCAGAAUUGCACAGAUGUAAUAGACAAGAUGGAGGGGAGAAUGAACCUUUGGUAAAGGCAUUUCUAACUCGCACGCUGGCGAAGUUAGAAAAGUGCAAGCACGCUUAAGCUUCUUUGAAGAUGGAGGUCAGUUAAUGUAAAAUUGUAAACCCGAUAGCAAUUGUACUGUAGUGGUAGUAGUUAGUAAUCUUUGUUAUGAGUAGAAGCAUAAAAUCCAAGAACUGCUUAUGCUUCAAGAAAAAUAAUCAGUAUAAUUGAGUUGUUGAUGAUCUCAUUAUGUUCUGUAAGUCACGCCUAUACUUAUAUAUCAUAAAUUAGUUCAUAUCUGAGAAACUGAAAAUGAUGGCUCGGUUUGUUUAAUACAACUUGUUUUAAAAAUAAAUCAUGAUAUUUUUCUUGCUUGAUUGAUCAUGAGAUCCUGAAAGGUUUUACUGAUGUAGUGAUUUUCUAAGGUUCACCAAGUUUUUUCAGAAUAUCUUCCCAUGUGCUGAUAUUGAGCUGUCCUGGAGUUGCAUUUUUAUAUGUCCCUGUUAUACCUUUCUAAAUUCAGCUGAUUCAAUUUUCUGAUCCAAUUGUUUUCUUUAAAAGUGACAGUGAAUGUUCUUUAUCUUUAAACAAGUUCAUUCAUUAUGUUUUCUUUAAACAAGUUCAUUCAUUUAUUCCUAACAUUUGAUGCAUACAAACACUUGCACAAUUCACUAACAGAAGAAAAGAGU